GGAUAAUCUGCCCUCAGGUGAGGAAUAAUCCCGGGAAACUGGGGCUAAUGCCUCAUAGGAGACGGGUGCUGGAAUGCUCUGUCUCCCAAAGGUCCGCCGCCUGAGGAUGAGUCUGCGUCCGAUUAGGUAGUUGUUGGGGUAACGGCCCAACAAGCCUUUGAUCGGUACGGGUUGUGGGAGCAAGAGCCCGGAGAUGGAUUCUGAGACAUGAAUCCAGGCCCUACGGGGCGCAGCAGGCGCGAAAACUUUACAAUGCGAGCAAUCGUGAUAAGGAAACCCUGAGUGCCUGUCAAUGCAGGCUGUUCUGGUGUCUAACACACACCAGGAGAAAGGGCGGGGCAAGACCGGUGCCAGCCGCCGCGGUAAUACCGGCUGCUCGAGUGAUAGCCACUUUUACUGGGCUUAAAGCGUUCGUAGCUUGGUCGUUAAGUCUCUGGGGAAAUCUUUUGGCUCAACCAAAAGGCGUCUCAGGGAAACUGGCGAUCUUGGAACCGGGAGAGGUAAGACGUACUUCGGGGGUAGGAGUGAAAUCUUGUAAUCCCCGAGGGACGACCGAUGGCGAAGGCAUCUUACCAGAACGGCUUCGACAGUGAGGGACGAAAGCUGGGGGAGCAAACCGGAUUAGAUACCCGGGUAGUCCCAGCCGUAAACGAUGUGCGUUAGGUGUGUCAGUGACCACGAGUCGCUGAGGUGCCGAAGGGAAACCGUGAAACGCACCGCCUGGGAAGUACGGUCGCAAGGCUGAAACU
rnacentral:rRNA from 1 species